rnacentral:rRNA from 1 species
CCUACGGGUGGCAGCAGUGGGGAAUAUUGCACAAUGGGGGAAACCCUGAUGCAGCGACGCCGCGUGAGUGAAGAAGGAAUUCGGAAUGUAAAGCUCUAUCAGCAGGGAAGAAAAUGACGGUACCUGAGUAAGAAGCACCGGCUAACUACGUGCCAGCAGCCGCGGUAAUACGUAGGGGGCAAGCGUUAUGCGGAUUUACUGGGCGUAAAGGGAGCGUAGGCGGGAGUGCAAGUCUGGAGUGAAAGGCCGGGGCUCAACCCCCGGACUGCACUUGAAACUGUACGUCUGGAGUGCAGGAGAGGUAAGUGGAAUUCCUAGUGUAGCGGUGAAAUGCGUAGAGAUUAGGAGGAACACCAGUGGCGAAGGCGGCUUACUGGACUGUAACUGACGUUGAGGCUCGAAAGCGUGGGGAGCAAACAGGAUUAGAUACCCGAGUAGUC